CUACAAAAUUAAUAUUAAAAAGGGCCUAUUCCAAACACUAGCUUUUCCCCUCCCAUGUAUUUACAUUUUUUUAGUACAUGUAUAUAUUACAUAUUAGAUGAAAUAGCCCUUUUAGUGUUUAUUUGGACCACUAUAAAUUAAUGUAUUCUGACUCUUUGUUGCCACCUACAAUAUUAAAGUGCAAUGAAAAAAUAUGCGUCCAGUAUAGCUGCUGAAAGCUAAACCCAAAAGUAAAAGUUUACAAUAGUUGAUCAUGCAUUAUAAUUGAGGUCAAGGCAACCCAAUUUUUGUCUGAACCUUGCUUUCCUAAUUAAUUACCAUCUAACACCCCUUUCUUUCCCCCCAAUAAAACAAACAAAACAAAAACAGGAAUCUAAAACAACAUGAUCUGAGUGAAAAUAUUCAUAACAGGUAACAUAUAUAUUUGAUUUAUUCUAUAAUACAAUAAAUAUGUUAAAUCUUUUUUCAUUAUUUUUUUUCUGAUGAAGAAAAUGAUGAGUGCAGGUAAACUGUUUAUACUAUCAAACUCUAUCUGAUGAAAUAUUUGCAGCUGGGCAUUUUGCAAUAAAAAAUCAAUCAAUCAAAAACUAUCACUGGCUUUGCUGACUGAUCUCUUUUGAAAACCACAUUAUAAAUAAAUCAUUUUUUGCUACAUGAAGAUCUUAUUCCAGCAGAUAUUGAUCCCUGAGAUAAACUGCCAAUAGCACUGUGGGAAAAUUGACAUUGUAAAGAUAAUAAUAAUAAAUCUAAAAUAUUGCUAUAAUUUCUAGUCAUCAAUCAUUAAAAAAAUUGAAUUCUGUUUUAAGAUAAAAUAUCAAAUUUUGCAAGUUCCAUAUUGUUUUCUCUAUUCAAUCUUGUGUUCUCAUUUAACAAACAUACCUCCAUUUAAUGAAAUAUGACAAU
rnacentral:lncRNA from 1 species